GGCUGCCUGGCCCAAUGGUCAAGGCGCUUGCCUACGAUGACGACAUGACCAUUGUGAUAGCAAGAGAUUCCAGGUUCGAGUCCUGGGGUGGUCG